rnacentral:rRNA from 1 species
CAGGCUUAACACAUGCAAGUCGAGGGGCAGCAUGGUCUUAGCUUGCUAAGGCCGAUGGCGACCGGCGCACGGGUGAGUAACACGUAUCCAACCUGCCGUCUACUCUUGGACAGCCUUCUGAAAGGAAGAUUAAUACAAGAUGGCAUCAUGAGUCCGCAUGUUCACAUGAUUAAAGGUAUUCCGGUAGACGAUGGGGAUGCGUUCCAUUAGAUAGUAGGCGGGGUAACGGCCCACCUAGUCUUCGAUGGAUAGGGGUUCUGAGAGGAAGGUCCCCCACAUUGGAACUGAGACACGGUCCAAACUCCUACGGGAGGCAGCAGUGAGGAAUAUUGGUCAAUGGGCGAGAGCCUGAACCAGCCAAGUAGCGUGAAGGAUGACUGCCCUAUGGGUUGUAAACUUCUUUUAUAAAGGAAUAAAGUCGGGUAUGCAUACCCGUUUGCAUGUACUUUAUGAAUAAGGAUCGGCUAACUCCGUGCCAGCAGCCGCGGUAAUACGGAGGAUCCGAGCGUUAUCCGGAUUUAUUGGGUUUAAAGGGAGCGUAGAUGGAUGUUUAAGUCAGUUGUGAAAGUUUGCGGCUCAACCGUAAAAUUGCAGUUGAUACUGGAUAUCUUGAGUGCAGUUGAGGCAGGCGGAAUUCGUGGUGUAGCGGUGAAAUGCUUAGAUAUCACGAAGAACUCCGAUUGCGAAGGCAGCCUGCUAAGCUGCAACUGACAUUGAGGCUCGAAAGUGUGGGUACCAAACAGGAUUAGAUACCCUGGUAGUCCACACGGUAAACGAUGAAUACUCGCUGUUUGCGAUAUACAGCAAGCGGCCAAGCGAAAGCGUUAAGUAUUCCACCUGGGGAGUACGCCGGCAACGGUGAAACUCAAAGGAAUUGACGGGGGCCCGCACAAGCGGAGGAACAUGUGGUUUAAUUCGAUGAUACGCGAGGAACCUUACCCGGGCUUAAAUUGCAGAUGAAUUACGGUGAAAGCCGUAAGCCGCAAGGCAUCUGUGAAGGUGCUGCAUGGUUGUCGUCAGCUCGUGCCGUGAGGUGUCGGCUUAAGUGCCAUAACGAGCGCAACCCUUGUUGUCAGUUACUAACAGGUUCCGCUGAGGACUCUGACAAGACUGCCAUCGUAAGAUGUGAGGAAGGUGGGGAUGACGUCAAAUCAGCACGGCCCUUACGUCCGGGGCUACACACGUGUUACAAUGGGGGGUACAGAGGGCCGCUACCACGCGAGUGGAUGCCAAUCCCAAAAACCUCUCUCAGUUCGGACUGGAGUCUGCAACCCGACUCCACGAAGCUGGAUUCGCUAGUAAUCGCGCAUCAGCCACGGCGCGGUGAAUACGUUCCCGGGCCUUGUACACACCGCCCGUCAAGCCAUGGGAGCCGGGGGUACCUGAAGUGCGUAACCGCGAGGAGCGCCCUAGGGUAAAACUGGUGACUGGGGC